CCUACGGGAGGCUGCAGUGAGGAAUAUUGGUCAAUGGUCGAGAGUCUGAACCAGCCAAGCCGCGUGAGGGAUGAAUGUUCUGAGUAUUGUAAACCUCUUUUAUCAGGGAACAAAGGCAGGAACGUGUCCCCGUAUGAGUGUACCCGACGAAAAAGGAUCGGCUAACUCCGUGCCAGCAGCCGCGGUAAUACGGAGGUUGCGAGCGUUAUCCGGAUUCAUUGGGUUUAAAGGGCGCGGAGGGGGUGUGUUAAGUCCGGGGGCAAAGCCCCGGGCUCAACCCCAGCACCGCAGUUGAUACUGGCAGUCUAGAGUAGGGGAGAGGUAAGCGGAAUUCGCGGUGUAGCGGUGAAAUGCGUAGAUAUCGCGAAGAACUCCGAUGGCGAAGGCAGCUUGCCGGAUCCGCACUGACGCUGAGGCACGAAAGCGUGGGUAGCGAACAGGAUUAGAUACCCUUGUAGUC
rnacentral:rRNA from 1 species